UACGUAGGGAGCGAGCGUUGUCCGGAAUUACUGGGUGUAAAGGGAGUGUAGGCGGGAUGGCAAGUUAGGUGUGAAAUGCGGAGGCUCAACCUCCGAGCUGCACUUAAAACUGCUGUUCUUGAGUGAAGUAGAGGCUGGCGGAAUUCCCAGUGUAGCGGUGAAAUGCGUAGAUAUUGGGAGGAACAUCAGUGGCGAAGGCGGCCAGCUGGGCUUUUACUGACGCUGAGGCUCGAAAGCGUGGGGAGCAA
rnacentral:rRNA from 1 species